rnacentral:rRNA from 1 species
CGUCGCCGCGGUAAUACGUAGGUGGCAAGCGUUGUCCGGAAUUAUUGGGCGUAAAGGGCUCGCAGGCGGUUUCUUAAGUCUGAUGUGAAAGCCCCCGGCUCAACCGGGGAGGGUCAUUGGAAACUGGGAAACUUGAGUGCAGAAGAGGAGAGUGGAAUUCCACGUGUAGCGGUGAAAUGCGUAGAGAUGUGGAGGAACACCAGUGGCGAAGGCGACUCUCUGGUCUGUAACUGACGCUGAGGAGCGAAAGCGUGGGAAGCGAACAGGAUUAGAUACCCCUGUAGUCCCUGUCUCUUAUACA